UCGACCAGAGAGUUAUGGGAGCCGGCAGAACCUGGGGUUCCGCGUCCUGCCAGCGGUGCAAGAUUGCGUCACUGGCCGCGAGCCAAGACGUGAGCCUGCGCAGAAGGCAGUGAAGGCGCCUCUGCGGCUGAGGCGUGGCGCAGGCGGCGUGGGCAGCCUCAAAAGGAUCUGAAUCACCAGACUGUUUCCCAUGGUGGCUGAACCAGUCUGCAUUCCCACCUACAGUGAAUGUAGACAACCUCUCCAACACUUAUUAUCACUUGUCUUGUUGAUAACAGCCCUUCUAACAGGUAACGGCAUUUUACUCUAGCUAUCUUUAAAAGGCAUGCUGCCUGAGCCAAGGAGAGAUACAGCUGGAGUUUGGGGACAGUGGAGGGGUCUGGCCUGAAGUUUGGUCUUCCCCAUCAAGGAGGAUUAUAGGAUGGUCCUCCAUGGGUGUGAUGUGUGGAAGCAGAGUACAACCUUCAAGGACUGAUUUUGACAUAUUCAGAGGCCCAUGGCAUCAUAUGGCCUUUUCCCCACUGUCCUCUUGACCUGAACUUCCCUUCUCAAUGAAGAGACAUUGGCUGGAAAGAACUUCACAGGCAACAUGGAGCCAUCCAGGAUUUCUUCUUUCUUAAUCUUUUCAGAUCAGCACAAUUGUAUUUCCACUGAGUAAAUAUUUUGUCACUUUCUUAAAACAGAAGAUGCUCCUGGGUCAGUGGAGAUGCAAGUUGGCAGGGUGGAGGGGCUUUACUGGAUAUCUUUGAUUGUUGGUUAUUUCCUGACCAUGAGUAACAAAAUCUAAUGGUCAUGCGCUCUCUAGUGCAGCACACAUUGAAGACAUUUUCAUGUCCUUGGAUCUCAUUUAAGCUAUUCUCCCUGUUCUUGAAACUGAGGCUCAGAGAACUAAAAUGACUUGCUAAAAUAUUUGCAUUCAUUGAGCAAAUAUUUAUGAAUCAUCUACUAGGGAACCACAUACUCUAGUUGGCUGCAGGCAUUUUGGGCUGAAAAGUAGCAGUGUUCCUGGUCCUCCUGGCACUACAGGCUGCACCUGGGCUUCCUGAGAGUGGGAGGAUAUGACAAACUAAGCACAGAAUGGAACUGAGAACAAAUAUAGCAUUUCUCUGCAUGCUACUUUCCAAGUAAACAAAGCUGUCUUUUAGAGAUUUUCUGCCUCAUUGAGAUACACAUUGGAGCUAAGGCUCAGCUUUCAUCAACAGGGGCAUAGGUGCUCUGAUCCCCACAUGGCUGGCUUAGUACUUCACAGUACAGCCAGGUGAGUUAGCAGUGUGCAGAGAACCUCCAUGACUAAAGGGAAUAUUACCUAACCCUUGGAAGAUUCAGAAAACUCUCAGAAAUUUUGCUGAGUUUUGAGGAAAAAAUUAAAUGAUAUAUAUUAAAAAGACUUUAAAGGGAGGGUUAAAACAUUUUAAAUGGAAUUUGCACUCUCCUGUUUUCAAAAAAGAUUCAAGAGAAUCUUGAAUGAUAAAACAAAUAGAGAAAGAUGAGUAAAAAAUAAAAAUAAAAAGUAAACAUGUACUGAAAAGGGAGACAAAGCCAUAAAAUGAAAUUUGUUCUAAGAAUGACUGCUGAAUCAUGUAUAUGGGUCACAUCUAGUUCCCUGGUAGAGAGAGGGAAAGGUGAAAUGUUAUGAGUUACAUGGUUUUUAUUCAUCAGUUAACCAAAUAAAGCACAUUAUACAGCUGUAAAGAGAUAUACGUCACUCCAUGCUGGAUUCCAGAGGGCAUCUUUCCUACCUCUCCAUAUAAAACAUAAUGAACACAGGUGGGGAUCUUCAACAGUUUUAUAUUUAACUAGAAAUAUUGUCCAUGUGGUCAUUUAUCAAGCCUAGCAUUAUUUUUAAGAGCCUCUGAAUUUUCAUGAUUUCUGAGUCUUCUAAAAUGCUUACUGAUAGACCGUGCUGGCAAUGAAAAUAACAGAAUGUUGAGGAACUGUUUUUAGGGACAGUUGUUAACUAACUUGGCUUUGUGAGUCCUUGAGGUGGGUGGUUUCCAUUUGUGGGCAAAGUUCUCAAAUGCCAUCUAAUCCAUACCAUCCACCUUGCAAGACCAGCAGCUGACUUGAUGUUUCUGAUUGUCAUCUUGCUCUGGACAGUUCUGCCUCCCACUCUGUCAUGUGUUAUCAUAUCACUCACCCCCGGCAUAAGCCAGGUAGCUUGAAUACUACCCACCUCCACAUUCCUGAUAUCAUAUAAUAGAUUCAUGUCUGGUGCUCCCUAGUAGGGUCACCUGGGACAAAUAUCCAGCAUC